UACAGAGGUCCCAAGCGUUGUUCGGAUUCACUGGGCGUAAAGCGUGCGUAGGCGGUCGGGUAAGUCUGAUGUGAAAUCUCACAGCUUAACUGUGAAACUGCAUUGGAUACUAUCCGGCUCGAGGAAUGGAGGGGAGACUGGAAUACUUGGUGUAGCAGUGAAAUGCGUAGAUAUCAAGUGGAACACCAGUGGCGAAGGCGAGUCUCUGGACAUUACCUGACGCUGAGGCACGAAAGCCAGGGGAGCAAACGGG
rnacentral:rRNA from 1 species